GGAAGAAUAAGAAGGGUCUUCUCUUCCCAGUUCUUCCCAAAAUUGGGAAAAGCUGGAUUUGGGGGGGGUGGGGAAGGAAACGAA
rnacentral:pre_miRNA from 13 species